UACGUAGGGCGCAAGCGUUGUCCGGAAUUAUUGGGCGUAAAGAGCUCGUAGGCGGCCUGUUGCGUCCGCUGUGAAAUCCCGGGGCUUAACCCCGGGCUUGCAGUGGAUACGGGCAGGCUGGAGGCAGGCAGGGGAGAACGGAAUUCCAGGUGUAGCGGUGAAAUGCUUAGAUAUCUGGAGGAACACCAGUGGCGAAGGCGGUGUGCUGGGCCGGUACUGACGCUGAUGCGCGAAAGCGUGGGGAGCGAACAGG
rnacentral:rRNA from 1 species